rnacentral:lncRNA from 1 species
CUAGUUAUUCUUUCAGUCGCAUAUAAAAUUGUACCCAUAAAGUUCAGCAACAAAUCCUCAAUUUACCAUGAAACUCAAACUGACUCAUCUACCAUGCCAAAUUGUUAGGUCAUGGACAUGGAUCUCCAUCAAUAAAAAUUGUUAGAAUGUCCAAUUCUAUCUUCCCCUAUUCCACUCUUAUGCUUAAAAAGACUCAUUCAUCAAUCAAUACAUUAACAAUAAAGUGUUCCACAGUAAUUACCACUUUCAAAUAAGCAGACUAUGUACUCCAAAAAUGGUUGUUAUUAACAGGAAAAAGAUGUAAUUUCCAGGUUAUGCUACCAAUCAACUAUUCCGUCAGCCCUAUUCAGGUUCAAAAUUAAGUUUGAUGUACAUGUUCCCUGCAUUGCAUCUUUUCAAUUUCUUUCCUUUCCUUUCUUCUCCAAGUACCUGUAAAGUCCUAUUUAUGAAAAAUUAACAAAUUGAGAAAACACUCACAUCAAGAACAAAAGCGGAAGAAACACUACAUUUCAAUAAUCAAAAGCACAAAAAAUUGAAAUACAAAGCUAUAAAUAGGGACACGGAGAAGAAGAGGAGUAAACGACAAUAACAACAACAUCCAAUCAAGUUUAGAUUCAGUUCAUGCAACAUUACCAUGACCUAAACACCAAAAUUGAUAAAUAAAAAAAGUCAAAACUCAUCGAAUGAAAAAAUCGACAAAACGGAUCUAAAAUCAAAAGGCAAAACAAAAAUGAGAAGAAAGAAGGAAGGGAAGAAGCACUGAGAAUUUCAUAUGAGGGCUUGCAAAAUCCUUCCAUUUUGCAGAGC